UACAGAGACUGCAAGCGUUAUUCGGAUUCACUGGGCGUAAAGGGUGCGUAGGUGGUCGUUUAAGUCCGUUGUGAAAUCCCUGGGCUCAACCUGGGAAUGGCAGUGGAUACUGGACGGCUAGAAUGCGGUAGAGGGUAGUGGAAUUCCCGGUGUAGUGGUGAUAUGCGUAGAUAUCGGGAGGAACACCUGUGGCGAAGGCGGCUUUCUGGGCCCUACCUGACGCUGAGACGCGAAAGCGUGGGGAGCGAACCGG
rnacentral:rRNA from 1 species